rnacentral:rRNA from 1 species
CCCUGGCAGUCAGAGGCGAUGAAGGGCGUGCUAAUCUGCGAUAAGCGCCGGUAAGGUGAUAUGAACCGUUAUAACCGGCGAUACCCGAAUGGGGAAACCCAGUGUGACUCGUCACACUAUCAUUAACUGAAUCCAUAGGUUAAUGAGGCGAACCGGGGGAACUGAAACAUCUAAGUACCCCGAGGAAAAGAAAUCAACCGAGAUUCCCCCAGUAGCGGCGAGCGAACGGGGAGGAGCCCAGAGCCUGAAUCAGCAUGUGUGUUAGUGGAAGCGUCUGGAAAGGCGCGCGAUACAGGGUGACA